AACGCACAUUGCGCCCCUUGGUAUUCCAUGGGGCAUGCCUGUUCGAGCGUCAUUUGAACCCUCAAGCCUUGCUUGGUGAUGGGCGUUUGUCCUCUUCUCUGUACUUGGACUCGCCUUAAAAUUAUUGGCAGCCGGCAUUUAGGCCUUUGGAGCGCAGCACAUUUGCGAUCUAAGCCUUGGUACUGGUAAUCCAUAAAGCAUAUUUAUCACUUUUGACCUCGGAUCAGGUAGGGAUACCCGCUGAACUUAA
rnacentral:misc_RNA from 1 species